GACGAACGCUGGCGGCGUGCUUAACACAUGCAAGUCGAGCGGUAAGGCCCUUUCGGGGGUACACGAGCGGCGAACGGGUGAGUAACACGUGGGUGACCUGCCCUCAGCUCUGGGAUAAGCCUGGGAAACCGGGUCUAAUACUGGAUAUGACUCCAUGACGCAUGUUGUGGGGUGGAAAGCCUUGUGCGGCUGAGGAUGGGCCCGCGGCCUAUCAGCUUGUUGGUGGGGUGANGGCCUACCAAGGCGACGACGGGUAGCCGGCCUGAGAGGGCGACCGGCCACACUGGGACUGAGACACGGCCCAGACUCCUACGGGAGGCAGCAGUGGGGAAUCUUGCGCAAUGGGCGAAAGCCCUGACGCAGCGACGCCGCGUGAGGGAUGACGGCCU
rnacentral:rRNA from 1 species